rnacentral:misc_RNA from 1 species
AACGCACCUUGCACCCUUUGGUAUUCCGAAGGGUACACCUGUUUGAGCAUCGUGAACUUCCUCCACCCUCGGGGGUUUGUCGAAAGGCGAACCCCUUCGAGAGGUUGGGACUUGGGGGUGUUUUGCGGGUCGGGUCGACGUCCGCUCCCCUUGAAUGCAUUAGCGAUCGCCCCUUCGUGGCCUCCUUUGGUGUUGAUAAACGUCUACGCCUCGGGGACGCGAACCCGUGUGGGAAAGGGUCGCUUCCAACCGUCUCCGAUGGAGACAAACCUCUCUUUGAACCUUGAUCUCAAAUCAGGUGGGACUACCCGCUGAACUUAA